rnacentral:rRNA from 1 species
AUACGUAGGGUGCGAGCGUUAAUCGGAAUUACUGGGCGUAAAGCGUGCGCAGGCGGUUUUGUAAGUCAGAUGUGAAAUCCCCGGGCUUAACCUGGGAACUGCGUUUGAAACUGCAAGGCUAGAGUGUGGCAGAGGGGGGUGGAAUUCCGCGUGUAGCAGUGAAAUGCGUAGAUAUGUGGAGGAACACCGAUGGCGAAGGCAGCCCCCUGGGUCAACUCUGACGCUCAGGCACGAAAGCAUGGGGAGCAAACAGGAUUAGAUACCCCGGUAGUCC